AGGAAGCCAGGAGAUGAGCUGGAAAGAGGGAAGCUGUAUGAGAGGAAAGGUAGUGAGGGGAAGCAGGGAGUGAUAGCUUGCUCCCUCUCUCCUGCUGGUGGACUGUAAGUAGGGAGACUACCAGUAUGGUGGAAAGGUGGUGGGAACACAACCUGUAAAUAAAAGCACCAGGAUCACAAAAUUGAAUUUCUGGGAGCAAGGUGGACUGGAGGAUCACUCUCCUCCCUGUGACAGAGACAAGAGAUCUCUUGAGGCAGGCGGAGAAAUACAGCACCAAAGCAGUUGCUAUUUUCAAAGCAUGAAUCUUGAGUUGAUGGCUCAUGUAUACUGGGAAACAGGAAGAAUUUGAGACCAUUGAGAAGGAAAACCUCUUCUCAAUUUCCAGGGUAGA